rnacentral:rRNA from 1 species
GAUUAUGGCUCAGAACGAACGCUGGCGGCGCGUUUAAGCAUGCAAGUCGAGCGGCAAGGGCCUUCGGGCCCCUAGAGCGGCGGACGGGUGAGUAACACGUGGACAAUCUGCCCCCCGGCCCGGGAUAGCCCAGGGAAACCUGGAUUAAUACCGGAUGAGACGGGACCCGCGAUGGCGGGACCCGGGAAAGACGCUGCGGCGCCGCCGGGGGAUGAGUCUGCGUCCCAUUAGCUAGACGGCGGGGUAACGGCCCACCGUGGCGACGAUGGGUAGCCGGCCUGAGAGGGUGGACGGCCACAUUGGAACUGAGACACGGUCCAGACUCCUACGGGAGGCAGCAGCUAAGAAUCUUCCGCAAUGGGCGAAAGCCUGACGGAAGCGACGCCGCGUGAACGAAGAAGGCCGUGAGGUUGUAAAGUUCUUUUCGGGAGGGGGAACAACCGUGGCAGGGAAUGGCCGCGGGAUGACGUGAAUCCCGGAAUAAGCCCCGGCUAACUACGUGCCAGCCGCCGC